UGGUGGGUUGCCUUGUCAGGUUGAUUCCGGUAACGAACGAGACCUCAGCCUGCUAAAUAGUCAGACCUGGUUCGUCCAGGCCGCCGACUUCUUAGAGGGACUCUUGGCGACUAGCCAAUGGAAGUGUGAGGCGAUAACA
rnacentral:rRNA from 1 species